rnacentral:rRNA from 1 species
UGACCGUGCGAAGGUAGCAUAAUCAUUAGUCUUUUAAUUGAGGGCUUGCAUGAAUGGUUAGACGAGAAGCGGACUGUCUUUAUUGGGACAAUUGAAUUUAACUUUUAAGUGAAAAGGCUUAAAUGAUCCAGGGGGACGAUAAGACCCUAUAAAGUUUAACAUAAUAAUGAUAAAAAAUUAAUUAGGUUAUAAAGUUUAUUAUUACAAAUAAUGUUUUGUUGGGGCGACAAGAAUAAAAAUAAUUUAACUGUUCUUUUUUUUAUCAAAAAUAUUUGGGUGGGUGAUCUUUUUUAAAAGUAUUAGAGUAAAUUACUUUAGGGAUAACAGCGUAAUUUUUUUUGAGAGUUCUUAUCGACAAAAUAGUUUGCGACCUCGAUGUUGAAUUAAAGGAUCUUUAUAAUGUAGGAGUUAUAAGAGAAGGUCUGUUCGACCUUUUAAUCUUUACAUGAUUUGAGUUCAAACCGGCGUAAGCCAGGUUGGUUUCUAUCUA